AUUGAACGCUGGCGGCAUGCUUUACACAUGCAAGUCGAACGGCAGCACGGGGGCAACCCUGGUGGCGAGUGGCGAACGGGUGAGUAACACAUCGGAACGUGCCCAGUUGUGGGGGAUAACCUAUCGAAAGGUAGGCUAAUACCGCAUGAGCUCGGCGAGAGGAAAGCGGGGGACCCAGCGAUGGGCCUCGCGCGACUGGAGCGGCCGAUGUCCGAUUAGCUAGUGGUGGGGUAAAGGCUUACCAAGGCGACGAUCGGUAGCUGGUCUGAGAGGAUGAUCAGCCACACUGGGACUGAGACACGGCCCAGACUCCUACGGGAGGCAGCAGUGGGGAAUUUUGGACAAUGGGGCAACCCUGAUCCAGCCAUGCCGCGUGAGUGAAGAAGGCCCUCGGGUUGUAAAGCUCUUUCGGUGGGAACGAAACGGGUACGGUGAAUAGCCGUGCUCAAUGACGGCACUCACAGAAGAAG
rnacentral:rRNA from 1 species